GGUUAAGCGACUAAGCGUACACGGUGGAUGCCCUGGCAGUCAGAGGCGAUGAAGGGCGUGCUAAUCUGCGAUAAGCGCCGGUAAGGUGAUAUGAACCGUUAUAACCGGCGAUACCCGAAUGGGGAAACCCAGUGUGAUUCGUCACACUAUCAUUAACUGAAUCCAUAGGUUAAUGAGGCGAACCGGGGGAACUGAAACAUCUAAGUACCCCGAGGAAAAGAAAUCAACCGAGAUUCCCCCAGUAGCGGCGAGCGAACGGGGAGGAGCCCAGAGCCUGAAUCAGCAUGUGUGUUAGUGGAAGCGUCUGGAAAGGCGCGCGAUACAGGGUGACAGCCCCGUACACAAAAGCGCAUGUGCUGUGAGCUCGAUGAGUAGGGCGGGACACGUGGUAUCCUGUCUGAAUAUGGGGGGACCAUCCUCCAAGGCUAAAUACUCCUGACUGACCGAUAGUGAACCAGUACCGUGAGGGAAAGGCGAAAAGAACCCCGGCGAGGGGAGUGAAAAAGAACCUGAAACCGUGUACGUACAAGCAGUGGGAGCACCCUUUGGGUGUGACUGCGUACCUUUUGUAUAAUGGGUCAGCGACUUAUAUUCUGUAGCAAGGUUAACCGAAUAGGGGAGCCGGAGGGAAACCGAGUCUUAACCGGGCGUUAAGUUGCAGGGUAUAGACCCGAAACCCGGUGAUCUAGCCAUGGGC
rnacentral:rRNA from 1 species